rnacentral:tRNA from 1 species
GGUUGUGGCUCAGUGGUAGAGUGCUUGUCUGGCAUGUGUGAGGCACUGGGUUCAAUUCUCAGCUCCG